ACCCAAUAAAAGCCCAUUGAGGAAAAGGCUCUUGGCCCUUCUCCUUUGAGAGAUUGGCCACCUUUCCUUCCCAAGCAGAUCAUGUCUUGGUAGACUUAUUCUCAUCUGUGGUGGUGGUGGGGGGGCCUGCGGGCAGAGCUCCCCCACAAGACUUUCCAUUACAGAAUAGGUAAGUAAGC